GUGUUCUAUUAACCAUGUAUCUAGUAGGAAAUAUAUGGGUCUUUCAGAAAUUUUAGUACGCAGAUAGAAAAAUUGAUAAACGGAGGACUUUGUUUAAUAUGGAGAUAAUAAAAAUUCCUAAUUUAAUAUUUUUUUAAUCUGCGUAUUACAGUUUCCAAAAGAACCACAGAUUUCCCACUGAUUUUAAGUGCACGAUAUAAUAAAGAAAAUUCAAAUUUGGCGCCAUAAUCAAUAUUUUUCCCCCCAUUGUGACGUCGCAAAUUUAUCUUCGUUUCCUAUUAGUAUUACUCCUCGAAAUUCAGAGGAAGCAACAUUCAUCAACGUUUCAGUGUUCUAUUGGCUCCUAUGGGAGUUUCCUAUCUAAGUAGUAUUAAUCUAUGGAUGUUACUUAAUCUUCAUAAUUUGCUUAUUUAUUUCAGACUUGUUUGGUUUACGGUCUUCUGUGUCUUUUCAUGGAUUGCUAUAGUCAAGAAACAAUGGAAAAUGCAUGCAUUUGGCAUUAUCCUUCAAGGUCUUUGUGUUAUCCUAUCUGUUGAAUGUCCUUUCCCGCCACAUUGUCAUUGCAACGCUGAUUUGGUCUCUAAAAAAAUUGUUGUAACCGUGGCAACUCCGCUUAUAUGUAACUCGGGAGCCUCGAAAACCGAAAACUCAUUAUCAAUCUUGUUUAGUAGCCACCAGAUGCAUUCCACGUUUUUUAGUACGGAAAGUAAUAUUUAGUAGUAAAACACCUUUAGACUAUUGGGCUAAUCAUUUUGGUCCAAUCGAACCGGAUUUUGGUUUAUCAAGCCUCAUUAUGGUUCAGUAAUUACAAUAAAUAAAAAGUGAAUGUACAGUAUUGCGAAAUAUCAAUGGUCGGCAGCGUAAACAAGCAUUGACAAAUCUUAAUAAAAUGGGUAGAAAAACAGCUGUGACGGAGGAUGUGUUGACUAGUGAUUUGGUGUCCAAAUAGUAAGAAUAAUGACUCAUUCAACUGACUAUGGAGAUUAUGUCGACAUUUAUAUAUUUGUUUCCAAAUAUAUCACUUCAUUCGCAUUGUUAAUAGUAACUUUUGCGGAUAUAGGUACUACGUGUUUUAUAUCAUUUCUAAUUUAUAAAUUUAAGGAGCUUAGGACAAGGACAAACUAUAUUCUGUUAAAUUUAAUGAUUUCAUCUACUCUAUAUGUUUUGUUAAAUUUAUUUUUAGGCAUAUUUAAUAAAUUUUUAGCAUCUGAUGUUAAGAAUUACGGCGAUUCUAUAGAACACGGUAUGAUAGUUGCACUUUUUAUGAUAAAAAGUACAACCCUUCUAUUAGUUUUGUAUCUAGCAAUUGAUUGGUUAAUCUUAGCAAACAAUUUAAAUUUGUUAUCCAAGUAUCAGCAAUACUUAUAUCCUUUUGUUAUUCUAGGCAUUUACGUUUUAUCCCUAAAGGAUUGUCUUCUAUAUUUUAUUAUAUCCGAUAAAACUUUUAUGUACAUUCAAAUUGAAUUAAUUGGUUCUAAUUUACUUUUUUUAUUAUCAGGGAUAAUCGUACUUAUAUUUUUUAUUAUAAAAAAAUGUAAACGCUAUUCACUUGAGCAAUCAAAAAUUGACUAUGCUUUAGCAAUUUCAUGUACGUAUUUUAUACUAUGGUUGCCAUGUUUUAUUUUGUAUAUCAUUAUGUUUAUAAUUCUACCCGUUUUAGGUGUGAGAAUCGAAUACAUACUUUUAGUAAAUCUUGUAAGUGAAACCUUUGGUGUUUUUGGUUAUGCUUGUCCUUUAGCUUAUGUUGCCGUUCUGUCUAUAUUUGCCCAAAAUUUUAAAAACUCUUUUAAUUGUAUUUUUAAAAGAACUGGCAGUAACACUGUGUAGAAGAUACACGCCCGGCAAACUCACUUCUGUGAUGUAAAAAUCACUUGCAACUUACAAUAACAAGCCUAAGUCAUAAGUUUAAAAGAAAAUGAUAGUGCGGUUUCUAUCAUUAUCCGCUACUAAUUAGAGUUAAACACAAAUUGUACGUAAUGAAAACCGAGACGUGCGGCGUAUUGCCCUUUUCUUCUUAGCAAUUGGGAAAUAGUUAAAGCGUUAUCAUUAUCUUUUUAACUAAUCUCUUGGUCCAUGAUUGGUUGUUGCAUUUUAAAGCAUGGAUAUUUCGGUACCUAAUAAAAAGUUUGUCAGGUAUCUACAAUACAAUAAUAGAAAUACAAUAUUUUAGUGGAAACAACUAUGCAUGUAUAGAAUACGGAUGUAAACCCAGAUUCAUAUCAAUAAAAAUGGCGUUAGUUUAAAUCUUGUGCCGAAAAUUUAUCAAGCGCGGGAAAAUAUUAUUUCGAUAACGUACAACAAAAAGACUUUUAAAGUCGUUGUGUGAAACGUACCUCACAACACAAAUUAUUAUUGAUAUAAUUCCGGCUUUACAUUUUAAAUGAAGCAUGUGUUAUCUGAGUAAUGCAGAUAUAUAAGACCCUACUUGUUUCAUAUCUAGUAAUUGAUUGCAAGAAUCAGCAAUGUAAUUGCCUUAUUAUCUUAAACACAAUUUUGCUUCUAAGGAAUGUGAAUGAAUUUCGAAGCUACGCCACUGAAUUGUGCUAUAUUUUACAAGUUAUUUCGUUUAUACCAGACUAAUUUUUAUAAUCUCAGGAAUAAAUGUGAUUGUUAUAUUACUACAAUUAUAUAUCUCAGAGAAAUCCUCUCUUCUAUAAAAGUUUUUUAUAUUUUAAUUCUUGUAAUUAUAAUUAUUACUCUCCGAGUUUAUGUACUGAGUAAGUUAGAUUAAGAAUUUUAAUGCUUCUUAUAACUUUUUAAAAAGGCUGUAAACAUUACACUAGAUUGUAACGAUGUGCGCAAUAUCUGGAAAACGUAUGAAAUUUAUAUUAAAAAAAACUAUUUUUA
rnacentral:misc_RNA from 1 species